UACGGAGGGUGCGAGCGUUGUCCGGAAUCAUUGGGCGUAAAGGGCGCGUAGGUGGCCCGGUCAGUCGAUGGUGAAAGCGCGGGGCUCAACUCCGCGUCGGCCGUCGAUACUGCUGGGCUUGAGCACUGUAGAGGCAGGCGGAAUUCCGGGUGUAGCAGUGGAAUGCGUAGAGAUCCGGAAGAACACCGGUGGCGAAGGCGGCCUGCUGGGCAGUGGCUGACACUGAGGCGCGACAGUGUGGGGAGCAAACAGG
rnacentral:rRNA from 1 species